AACGAACGCUGGCGGCAGGCCUAACACAUGCAAGUCGAGCGCGCCCUUCGGGGUGAGCGGCGGACGGGUGAGUAACGCGUGGGAACGUGCCCUUUUCUACGGAAUAGCCUCGGGAAACUGAGAGUAAUACCGUAUACGCCCUUUGGGGGAAAGAUUUAUCGGAAAAGGAUCGGCCCGCGUUGGAUUAGGUAGUUGGUGGGGUAAUGGCCUACCAAGCCGACGAUCCAUAGCUGGUUUGAGAGGAUGAUCAGCCACACUGGGACUGAGACACGGCCCAGACUCCUACGGGAGGCAGCAGUGGGGAAUCUUAGACAAUGGGGGCAACCCUGAUCUAGCCAUGCCUCGUGAGUGAUGAAGGCCUUAGGGUUGUAAAGCUCUUUCAGCUGGGAAGAUAAUGACGGUACCAGCAGAAGAAGCCCCGGCUAACUCCGU
rnacentral:rRNA from 1 species